UGAGCAUGUGAGCUAAUGUAAGGAGAUAGGGGCCGAUAUAAACUGCAUGUGAGAAGGGUAAGGUAUGAGCAUGUGAGCUAAGGUAAGGAGAGAGGGGCCAAUAUAAACUGCAUAAGGAGAAGGGUAAGGUAUGAGCAUGUGAGCUAAUGUAAGGAGAGAGGGGCCGAUAUAAACUGCAUGUGAGAAGGGUAAGGUAUGAGCAUGUGAGCUAAGGUAAGGAGAGAGGGGCCGAUAUAAACUGCAUGUGGAGAAGGGUAAGGUAUGAGCAUGUGAGCUAAGGUAAGGAGAGAGAGGCCGAUAUAAACUGCAUGUGAGAAGGGUAAGGUAUGAGCAUGUGAGCUAAGGUAAGGAGAGAGGGGCCGAUAUAAACUGCAUGUGAGAAGGGUAAGGUAUGAGCAUGUGAGCUAAGGUAAGGAGAGAGGGGCCGAUAUAAACUGCAUGUGAGAAGGGUAAGGUAUGAGCAUGUGAGCUAAGGUAAGGAGAGAGGGGCCGAUAUAAACUGCAUGAGGAGAAGGGUAAGGUAUGAGCAUGUGAGCUAAGGUAAGGAGAGAGGGGCCGAUAUAAACUGCAUGAGGAGAAGGGUAAGGUAUGAGCAUGUGAGCUAAGGUAAGGAGAGAGGGGCCGAUAUAAACUGCAUGUGAGAAGGGUAAGGUAUGAGCAUGUGAGCUAAGGUAAGGAGAGAGGGGCCGAUAUAAACUGCAUGUGAGAAGGGUAAGGUAUGAGCAUGUGAGCUAAGGUAAGGAGAGAGGGGCCGAUAUAAACUGCAUGAGGAGAAGGGUAAGGUAUGAGCAUGUGAGCUAAGGUAAGGUAAGGAGAGAGGGGCCGAUAUAAACUGCAUGUGAGAAGGGUAAGGUAUGAGCAUGUGAGCUAAGGUAAGGAGAGAGGGACCGAUAUAAACUGCAUGUGAGAAGGGUAAGGUAUGAGCAUGUGAGCUAAGGUAAGGAGAGAGGGGCCGAUAUAAACUGCAUGUGGAGAAGGGUAAGGUAUGAGCAUGUGAGCUAAGGUAAGGAGAGAGGGGCCGAUAUAAACUGCAUGUGAGACGGGUAAGGUAUGAGCAUGUAAGCUAAGGUAAGGAGAGAGGGGCCGAUAUAAACUGCAUGAGGAGAAGGGUAAGGUAUGAGCAUGUGAGCUAAGGUAAGGAGAGAGGGGCCGAUAUAAACUGCAUGAGGAGAAGGGUAAGGUAUGAGCAUGUGAGCUAAGGUAAGGAGAGAGGGGCUGAUAUAAACUGCAUGUGAGAAGGGUAAGGUAUGAGCAUGUGAGCUAAGGUAAGGAGAGAGGGGCCGAUAUAAACUGCAUGUGAGAAGGGUAAGGUAUGAGCAUGUGAGCUAAGGUAAGGAGAGAGGGGCCAAUAUAAACUGCAUGUGGAGAAGGGUAAGGUAUGAGCAUGUGAGCUAAG